AGGGGCCAGUCAUGGUCCAUGCCAUGAUAGACUCAGGAGCUACAAACAAUUUCAUUGAUAGAGAGUAUGCCGACUCUCUGGGAUUACAAUACCAUGACUUCAAGAAUGCCCGUGUGGUGCAAGCCAUCGAUGGCCGCCCCCUCAAGACGGGUCCCGUAAGCCAGUGGUCGGAACCCACCAGAAUGUGGAUAAGGGAACAUAUGGAAGAGAUUUCCUUCUUUGUUACCGAGGUUCCCCAUUUCCCUGUAAUUUUGGGAAUUCCAUGGCUGACACUUCACGACCCAAGCAUCUCCUGGUCCAACAGAGAACUGCAGUUUGCUUCAAAAUAUUGCCAAAACCAUUGCCUUGUAGCCAAGGUCUGCCAUGCCACAGACACUGAACCCAUUAUCACCUUGCCCAAGAAGUACUCAGAAUAUUGGGAUGUAUUCAAUGAAAAAGAAGCCGAGAGAUUACCCCCACAUAGACCUUAUGACUGUGCCAUUGACUUGGUGGAGGGGGCCCCGAUCCCGCGAGGACAUCUCUACUCCCUGACUGAACCGGAGCAAGAAGCUCUCAGGGAGUUCAUAGAGUCAAACCUUCGCAAGGGAUUCAUCAGACCCUCUCAAUCCCCAGCCGCUUCCCCAGUGAUGUUUGUGAAAAAGAAAUCAGGGGACUUACGCUUGGUGGUGGACUAUAGAGCAUUGAACAAUAUCACUAAGCGGAACAGCUAUCCCCUGCCCUUGAUCUCGGACCUACUAGACCGACUUCGGGGAGCCAAGGUCUACACCAAGCUGGAUCUUCGGGGGGCUUAUAAUCUAGUUCGCAUCAGAGAAGGGGACGAGUGGAAGACCGCCUUCCAGACUAAAUUCGGAUUAUUCGAGUCCCGAGUUAUGAAUUAUGGAUUAUGUGGAGCUCCCGCAACGUUCCAGCAUUUUGUCAAUGACAUCUUUCAGGAUUAUCUAGAUCGGUUCUUGAUCAUCUACCUGGACGAUUUUUUGGUGUUUUCUAGAUCACAAUCAGAGCAUGAGAACCACGUCAGAAUGGUGUUACAACGAUUGCGGGAUCAUGGACUUUAUGCCAAGCUGGAAAAAUGCGCUUUUGAUCUACAAGAGGUAGAUUUCCUGGGGUACCGCGUCUCACCACUAGGGCUCUCCAUGGACCCGGCUAAGGUUUCAGCAGUAUUGGAAUGGCGGGCGCCAACCAACAAGAAAGAGGUGCAACGAUUCUUGGGGUUCGCGAACUACUACCGCAAGUUCAUUCCAGACUUUGCCCGCUGGUCUGACCCAAUCACCAGCUGCAUCCGUGGGAAACAGCCUUUCCGCUGGACAGAUCAAGCAGAGAAAGGGUUCCAGCAACUAAAGAAAUUAUUCACGUCCCAGCCAAUCCUUCAGCAUCCAGAUCCUGAAACCCCUUUUGUUGUGCAGGCGGACGCCUCCGAUGUGGCAAUUGGGGCUGUACUCCUACAACCAGUGGGAGACCAUCUUCAUCCUUGUGCCUUUUAUUCCCGUCAAUUGACCGCGCCAGAGAAAAAUUACACCAUUUGGGAAAAGGAACUAUUGGCCAUAAAGGCAGCCUUUGAAACUUGGAGACAUUGGCUAGAAGGGGCCAAAUUUCCCAUUGAAGUCCAUACUGAUCAUCGAAAUCUAGAGCAUCUAAGAACUGCCCGCAAGCUAAAUCAAAGGCAACAACGCUGGGCUCUAUUCUUUGAACGUUUUAACUUUCAAAUUCAUUAUGUAACCCCAGCCCAGACCAAGCAAGCAGAUGCUCUGUCACGGAAACCGGAAUAUGCUGCAGGGCGCAAGGAGACCUUUGAGUCCCAGCUGCUACAACCCGAGAACUUUGCCACGCUCACAGUGGGAAACACCAAAUCCACUCCCAUUGAAUCAACUUCCCCUACUCCAGGACCCCUUUGUGCUCAGGAAAUCAGGGCUAGUCAGCAAGCAGACGCCUGGGCACAGGACCAACUUCGCCAAGGACUACGUUUUCCCUUUUCGCUUAAGGAUGGGCUACUUUGCUAUAGAAAUCAUGUUUACAUCCCCCCAGGACCGGGCAGGGAAAAAACACUUCGUCUGUGUCAUGACUGCAAGCCAGCAGGGCAUUUCGGGCUAUUUAAAACCAUGCAUUUGAUCCUAAGAGAUUUCUGGUGGCCCAAGAUCCGCAAGGAUGUGGAAAAAUAUGUCAACACCUGCCCAGUAUGCCAGCGCUCCAAGACAAGAAGAGAAAAGCCCUCAGGGCUUCUGCAUCCCCUCCCUACCCCAUCCCGCCCAUGGGAAAUAAUCUCUGCGGAUUUUAUCACUGAUCUACCACCGUCCUGUGGAUUCACCACGAUCCUAGUGGUGGUGGACCUUUUCACCAAGUUAGCCCAUUUCAUUCCCUGCGAUGGCCUUCCCACGGCCAAAGAAACUGCAGAUCUAUUCCUCCAACAUGUUUUCAGAUUGCAUGGAUUGCCCAAGAGUUUGGUCACAGACCGUGGGUCCCAAUUCACUUCUCGUUUCUGGAAAGCACUACAAAAACUAUUGGGCAUAGACUCUCGUUUAUCUUCGGCUCAUCAUCCCCAAACAGAUGGGCAAACUGAGCGCACCAAUGCCACUUUAGAACAAUACCUUCGCUGUUAUGUAAACUACCAGCAAGACAAUUGGGCUUCCCUGUUAUCGCUGUCAGAGUUUGCCUACAACAAUGGGGUCCAGGCUUCUACUAAAGAAACGCCGUUCUUUGCAAACUAUGGCUUCCAUCCACGUUUCUUUCCCCCUGUCAUUGAAACCUCAGAAGUUCCCGCAGCAGAGGACUGGCUGCAGGAACUCACAGCGGUGCAACAACUCUUGCUCCAGCAAUUAAACCAAGCCAAGGAGGACUAUAAACGUCACGCGGACAAACAUCGCCAGCCGGGCCCCGAAAUCAAGGUAGGAGACCGGGUUCUUCUGUCCACUCGCUUUUUGCCCUCCCAUCGCCCUUGCCGGAAGUUAGAUGCCCGUUUCAUUGGCCCCUAUCCAGUGGUGGCGCAACUUAACCCCGUGACUUUCAAACUCCAACUUCCGCGUUCAAUGCGCAUUCAUCCAGUGUUCCACCGCUCCCUGCUCCUUCCGGCGGAUGGUGUGCGCCCUGAUACAGACCGACCGGCCCCCCCUCCUGUUUUGAUGAAUGGGGAGGAGGAGUUCGAGGUUGAGGACAUUUUGGAUUCUCGCUUUCACCGCCGCCGCCUACAAUAUCUCAUUGACUGGGUGGGUUUUGGCCCCGAGGAACGUUCUUGGGAAGACGCUUCCACAGUCCAUGCUCCUGAUCUAACCCGCCGCUUCCAUCAGACCUAUCCCGCCAAGCCGCGGCCUCGCGCCUCGGGGAGAGAGUCCCGGUUUGAGAGGGGGCUUGAGGAGGGGGAUAGUGUGAUGAGUCAUGGGCCAUGUAGUCCCGUUCAUGGCACUGUAGUCCCAGAUGAAGAGGAGAACUUGGGUUUUUCACCGUCUCAGUCAGAAUUGGAACCUUCCCAGCCAGAUUUGGGAACCUUGCACCUGCAAGAGAUUUGUCUUCCAGAAAUCUGUCAAACAAGCCCUGAGUCUAAAUCUCCUGUGUUUUCUCGCCACGAGUUUUGUAAACAUCAGAGAGGAGUUCAAGCGGCCUCUCGUAGGAGUGCUAGGAUAGCUGCUAAGAAUUCAGCUGAUUAAGCCUGCUUUCCAUGGGAAACCUUAAGGAGUCAUGCAUCUGGACUCUGAGAUUAGCUUUCGUUUCUGGUUCCCCAGAGAACUGCUCUUUGGUGGGAAAACUAGACCCUAUUUAGGUGUUUUACCCACAAAGAGAUCUUGCGGAGUCAAUUCGUCAGCUACUGGAGUAAGUUGUGUGUGGACAGCGCGCUCCGUUUCCAAGCCUCGUUCCUGUUUCAAGCCUUGUCCCUGAUUCCAAGCCUUCGCUCCUGUUUCCAGCCUUGUUUACCUCCGCGGACCUCGCCUUGUUUUCCAGGGCUCAGCCUUGCUUUCUUUUCCCGGAUUUUGCCAAGUAAUUCCACGGAUCUUGUUCUUGCUCCUCGUUACCUUGUUGCCUUGAAUCAAGCCUUGUGUUCCAAGUAUCAAGUUAUUUCCUAGCCUUGCUCAAGUUCAUGGACUAAAGGACCUUGUCAUCUCCCCUCACUUGCUUGGCAAGUGAGUGUUUCGGUUAUUGGAUUACAACUUUGGACCUUAAUAUUUCAUAUUGGACAUUGUUUCUUUGGACUAAUUUUGACCUUUCCUGAAAGGUCUACUUCUGGACUACUUCAUACACUUGCUUUUAUUAACUUUAUAUAUUUCCUUAAUAAAGAUAUUAGAUAGAUUCUGGCCUCUGUGUAUGGUUAUUGGUGCUCUGUAGCCUGGGUCGUGACACUAUGGCCAUUAUCGAUCCAUUUGAACUGUAGGUGAAAGUGGCAUACAGGUGGAUAGAUUCAUUUCGAAAAGCAUGGCUGGCUGCCCUGAGUCUGCUAGAGCUGAUCAGGAACAUUGGUAAUGGAGGUCCCAUUCAUUAGGUCCUUAUAAAUUGAAGCCAACCUGAUGGCAACUUUCAAUAAAGCAGGUGGAUGGAGAUCAGGAUCAAGUGAUGGUGAACCCUUUAUUGAGGUAUAUGUCUUGGCAGCUUGCCACAAUGAGAAACCAGCCCUGACCAGUAUAAUAAGAGAAACAACUUUGUUUUCAUGUAGGUUGGGCUGGUCUUUUUUGAAAUGUAGAAAUGUGAGGAGCAGCAAAUAAUGCCAUUGUGAUUCUCAUCAGAAAUUCUUUGAUUUAAGCCAGAAAUGGUAGCGUUCUUCAUAGAAGCCGCAGAAUAGUUUUCUUGCUGUGUGUGUUGACACAGUCUGCUUCAAUCCAAAAAUAAUGAUUUGCUGGGCCAAAGCCCUGCAUGCAUUUCCCUCCCAUACCUCUGGAGAUGCACCUUUGUGAUCUGGUAGACUUUCAAUUUGUGAGAGGAGCCAAUUUAGUGUAGUGUUUUGAGUGGUGGACUUGGACUCUGGGAGUAGGGUUUGAAUCUUUUUGAUCAUGGAAGCCUGCAGGGUGAGCUUGGGCAGCCUCAGAGGAGGGCAAUUGCAAACCUCCUCUUAAGAAAUCUAGGAUAGGGUUACCAUGAGUUGGAAUUGAUGUGAGGGCGCACAAAAACAGCAAGAGUUUCAGGGUUGACAUCUGAAGUAGCUGAACCUCCUAUUGGUAAUCAUGUGAUUUUUCAUUCUUCAGACUAGCCGAGGAGGGGGAUGCAGAGGACCUGAUCUUUGAAUCAAUUAAUGGGGAUAGGAAUGUUACCUUGGUUUUGAAAUAGUAUGUUUGGAAGCCAUUACAGCUUAAACACUCCAAACAAAACAGCUUGGCAUUUAGUUUACAUUUAAAAACUUUUUGCGCAUAACUGAAUCCGUGUUCAGUGACCUUGUGUAAUAAGCAGGCCUACUGUAGACAAAUUCCUGACAGGUAUGAUUACUAGUCCUGAUGACUAUUUGCUACCUCCAAGUGCAGAGAUGAUAAUGGUUCUGUAUGCCAGUUGCUGCGAGAAAAAAGCAGGGAAUUCUCUCUUCCCCACUCACUUUUUUGUGUGUUUCCAGGUGGCAUCUGGUUUAGCAUUGUGGGAACUGGAUGCUGGACUGAGUGGACCUCUGCUUUUUGCUCUGCUCCCAGGGCUGCUGUAAUGUGUUUAUGCCAUGGUGACCACUGACUUUGUAAAUCUGGCUAACAGGGUCAUACUGACUUUCAUCUUCUGCCUGAAGGCAGCAUGAUAGAUGAAUCAGCCCUUUUGUGUUUUGCUGCAGAAUCUGGAGACUUCAUGCCAAUUGCUAUAAAUGGGAAUCUCUACCUAGAUCAAUACAACUGGUCAGGGUGACCGGUUUCUUAUAACUUACUGUCCUUGUUGCAAUAUCAGGACUCAAAAUCUGCAGAGGGGAGGAGAGGAACGGCAGCCUGCACCUGUCAGCAAAGGUGCUGAAAAUUGGAAGAACCAUGACUAUUUCUGUUCAAUGUGGGCUCUGUUCAUCCUGUUUAUUAUACAUCUUUCUACCUUAACAAAAUUAUGGCAGCAUAGGUUGGCUUUGUCUGCUGGACAGUUAUAUAAUUGUUUCUCCAGUAUUGUGAUAGCUUAAGUGAAAAGAGAGACCUGUCCUAUUAACCUAGUUAAAAGGCUAACAGGAGGUGGCUCCUCUGAACUUCGUCCCAUUCUGAGAAUGUUACAGCGAAUAUUUUUGAGGUGAUUGGUCAUAGGGUCUCUGCUCUGUACCACAUUUCUUGAGAGUGCUGGUAAAUAUUGUUGUCUUCUAGGUGUGUCUUUGCUAAGUAGAGGCCAUGGCCUUAUCUAUAAAUGACCAUCUUUACUUCUACUUUGUGCAUUUUGUUCAUCUCCUUUCUGGCGUUGCAGAAUUCAUGAAUCACAGUAGUUAAAGGUCUUGCUCUUUACAAUUCCGAUCAGCUGUAUGAAUGCAAUAGCAAAAUCCACAAUAAACACCCGCUUUUGAAAUGAAUACAUCUGACUUUUAUUUUUUAGAGGAAAGAAUUACAUUAAAAUAUACAGACCUGCACUAGGGAAUUCCUAAUGGCUUUCUGUAUUUGUUUAGUUUAGACUCCACUCAUGAUUAAGAAUGAUGUCAGCAGGAUACAGCUUGGUCUGUCUGUCAUCAGAACGGUAGAGUGCAUUGUGUCAGGCCCACUGAUUUGUGCUUUCACUCAUGGACCACACAGCUACUCCUCAGUUUUUUGUUUGUUUUUGUUUUAAUUGUGUCAGGCAAAAUCUCCACAUUUGUUGGAGACUUCAGGAGACACUCACUUGUGCCUUAUUAGAAAAGCAAAGUCUAAAUGCACAAGAAAGUAACUUGGGAGGGGAGAACAUCAAUUUAUAUCUGAAUUUAUUUGAAGCAUUCGUUUUUGCCAUGGAAAGGACAUUUCUUAUUUUGUUGUCUUGCAAGUAACUUUUUACCCUUUUCUGCAGUGAUAUCUUUGACAUCAUCUCCUGACCAGUUGCCAUGAAAUUGAGAUUGGGAAGAAUAUUAAGAGUGUAACUAGUUCAUGGGGACAGGGAAGAUCACAUUAGAUUUGAAGGAGGGUGGGAAUUGGACAGCCACUGGGCUAUAUGUGGCCUCUUGGGACUGUUACAAAAUUCUUGGACUCCUGGAGGCCAUGGCGCAUUUCCUAAACCUUUUGCUGAAAAAAAACCCCCUACCUUUAACGAGUUAAAAAUCCCUUGAGAGCAUAAUAAUCAAUCUUUUUCAGUCACUUUAUUUCCUGCCUUUUACCCAAACAAGCGGCUUAAGGCAGUGAAAACAAAACAAAGCAACAAACAAAAGUUCUUUUGCGAGAUUCUCUACUUGGAAAACAACCAUCCCACUACUCCAGUGGCCCAGAAAGUGACCAAAGGUAACAUGUCAAAAUUGGUUAUUACAAUGCCCCCUCUUCUCCUCUAAAUAAUAAUAAUAAUAAUAAUAAUAAUAAUAAUAAUAAUAAUAAUAAUAAUAAUUUAUUUAUAUUCCGCCCUAUCUCCUCGAGGGGACUGAAGUUCCAGAGAGACCCAAAAAUGCUACAGCUCCCAUCCUUUUGAGACAACAGUACAUCCCAUGGAUCUCAUGCAAAAAGCAACAUUAGAUACGUUAGUAAAGACUUCUUUUUUAUUAUGACACACAAGAUAAUAAUGGUCCUAGAAGCUCUUCACUAGCGAGAUCUCAAGAGCUGAAGUCCUUCACAAAUUUGGCUUCAAAGCAGCAAUAGUGCAAUAAUGUAGUUUUGUACAUCUUUUGCAGCUAUAGUCAGACAAGAAGUGCCUAGUUAUUUUCACAUGGAAUGAUGUGAAGUGUGUGUGGGGGGUUGGGGUGGGUAGGAGGGAGCCCAGUGUGGUGCCAUGGUUGAAGAAGGGCUCCAGGAAACCAGGGUUCAAAUUCUGGCUUGGAAACCCUCUGGGUGAUCUUGGCCAAGUCACGUUCGCUCAGCUUAACAAAAGGGUAAUGACAGACGUCCUCUAAAAAAUUUUUGCUUAGGAGCUCCAAGUUUGCCAUUGGGAUGCCAGAAGUUGGAAAUGACUUAAAGAUGUAUAAAAGUUUGAAAGGAGUCCAUUUCUAUCUUAUUCUUGAGUUGUAUUUGAAUUGCAAGUUGAAUACAGGGUAGAUUUGUAAUUGAUCUUCACAAUCUAUGCAGCCCAUGGAUGCAAUUAUCUGUCAGGAUCACUUGCUUUCUGGGUCAUCUUUAAAUCAACUGAGCUUGGGCAGAACUUAGAAAAGUUUUUGAAGCUGGUCAUGUUAAGAGAAUUUUGGGGUUUUAGUCCCAAAAAUAACUUUCCUAAUCUCUGACCAAGACAAGGUGGAACGUAUGUUUUGAGGAGUAAUAUUUUCUCCAAAAGUUUAUAAUCCUACUAUGUUGCAAUUUAUUCAAGUCAAAAGAGUCUUGGACUUCACUCAUGUGAUCCCUGAAUUUUACAUUUGUGUUUCAUACUGGUUGAGAAACUUGGAGUGAUACUGCCUGGUACCUCUGGAAAUGUAUGCUCAAAAAAUAAAAUGUAUUGGCCCAAGCCUGUCAUUGUGUGAAUGAGCAUUUGUUAAUAUGACCAAGAUUUUAUCCCUCCCAACUUGAUAACCCCACAUUACCUCCAAAAUCACUGGAGCGGCUUUUGAAACUUCAGUGAGGGUGUCCCUUGAAUGAUUACCCACCUCCGUUUUCUACUGAUAGAAACACAUCAAUCAACAAAAUUGACUCCUUUGGAUUGUGUCUAUGUGUGUGUUGUACAUAUUCACAGUUUGUUAACAAAUAUGCAGAAGUGAUGAUGGCAUAAGGAAAAAAGCACUGUAGAUGUUUGUAGUUACAUUUGACAUCCAAGAUUUGAUCUAAAUGCUCAGACACCCAACCCUGAAAUGCCAUGUUGUGAGCCCAGGUACCUGUUAACUGGCUGGUACAUCAGGACCUCACUCCUUGAGUAAAUUUGUUUAGACUUGGGAUUUAUAUUAGCUAAGGAUUAUUCGGCUUAUUUCAAAACAUUUGAGUAGGAUAUCAUCCAAGUGAGCAAACUCAUCUUCGUAGGACCUGCAAAUUUGGUGACAUCUCUUAAUAUUCAUACUAAACAUUAAUGAAUUCAAAAUAAUGAAAUAAUGUGGAUAUAUGUUGGCUGGAGGCAGGAUAGUUUGUUUUAAAUCAAAUCAAUUUGAAUCAGUGAUUUUUAAAUCAAGAAAAGAGCUCUGGAGGCCCAGUGAUUUAAAUCAAGUUUCCAAUUGAUGCUAGUUACUGUCUUUCCUGACCAGUGGUGCAAAUAUGACUUUGAAAUCUUGUUUGUCUACAUCUAAAGGGAAAGCGAAUUACAGUGUAUGGGUCCUUACAUUUCCUUGUCACACUGUGCCUUAUCGGCUGGAAUCCUGCUAGUGACAUAAGGCAGGUGUUAGUCCACCUUUUGCAUGGGCACCCUUGUAUACUCAUUUAGAAGGCUAGAAUUUUGUCAAAAAUUUAUUCCCAAAACCUGGAUUGAGGUAUCCAUGGGUCAGUACCAUAAUUCUUACCAAAAAAAGGAAAUAUUACUUUCUCUGAAAAGGGUGGGGAACAGUGAAAACCUGGUUUAUCCCAGGAAGCCCAAAAGAAGCACUACACCCCUCUCAUCUCUCCACCAAUGGUACUGGUUUAGGCCUUUUUGAAUACCUGGAUGAAGAAAUGACAUUGGGGUGCGGGGCGGGGGGGGGGGGGAAAUGAACCCCUAAGGUGGCAUUGGUGCUUUCCCACUCCACAGAAUAACUCUUGACCAAUCCAUGGGCUAUAUCAAAAUUCAUAAUUUUGGCUGUACAACGUAUCAUCAAUGUAUACAUUAAUAUAUACUGUGUCUUGUUUCUUGGUAAUAGAGAGGUUGACGUUCUGCUUCAUCCUUUGCAACAACCAGUAACUCUUUAUUUAGCAUCUGCUCUGUGGCCAUUCCAUUGCUGUUGGAGAGAACAGAGGUGUGAUAUUGUUGUUGCAGCAUUUAACUAUAUCCUUGUACAUGGAUGCAGAAUGAUGACAUCAUCUGCGAAGAUCUUUAGAGGUCUGUAGCAGAUCUCAGGGGAUGAUGUAGUCAUUCUAAAUCUGGCUAGAUGUGCAUAGCACAGGCGUUUUCAAUCUCCUACUCUGUGCCAGGCAAGAAAUGGACGUGGAAGGGGUGCAGUGGCUAAAUGGUAAAUCUGGCAGGUGUUGAGAGCAUAGCUCCUGCAGAACUAUUAAUGCUACAGACAUCCUUCUACAUUUGUGGGUUUGACAGAUUUGAUUGUUUGUGAAUUUGAUUAAUAUGUUUUUUUCUAAGAAUCUCUAGGUCCUCGAGGGCAAUUUUCCACAGGAAUCCAAGAAUAGAGUCAUCCUGGAGAACCUACAGAUUCUUAGAGAGGUGUUCUCUUACGUAAAAAAUAUACCCAGAGAAGUGUUCUCUUAUGUAAAACACAAUUUUUAAAUUAAAGUUUUUUCAGUUUUCAUAGGGUUCUGUGCCCCUAACCCUUAUACAUGUGGAGGCCCUACUAUAUACUGUGCCAUACAGAAUAUCAUCUUUGCUGUUUUCCGUUUAAAAAAAAGCAUAUGUGGACAAUUUUUCAGUAUUCCCAUUAACAUAGUCUUUUUAAUGACUAGCAGUCAGAGCAGUUUAUGAGGUGGUAUGGUAAAGGGCAUAUUUGGCAGUGUCUAGGUUUCUCCUUUCUCUUUCCCUCCCCUUUGGCCCAGCCUCAUCCUUGCACUUUCUAAGUACCAAAUAGCAAUGAAGUGGUCAUAUCUGAUAGACCAGCGGAUUGUCUCAUAAUUGCUGGGCAAUUCGUUUGUUUCCAGGAUGUGAAAAUGCAAUGCCUGUGUUUGAUAGGCAAAAUGUAAAUCUGCAUUUGAGAAGUCAUCAAAUUGGUUUUUCAUUUGCAUAUAAAUGCCUCCUUUAAUUCAGUGUAUCUGUCAGAAGCAUUGAUUUGGUUUAGAAAUUAACUGUGGAGCUAGCAGGCUCACGUUCCAAUUAUUUAAUGUAAAUCUAUUACUCUUUCAUAGAAAUGUAGUAUUUAUAUUCUUUUAAAAAUAAAUAUUAUUUAAUGUAAAGAACUCAUUCAUUUUAUCUACCCUUCUCAGAGGUGCACCUUUAACCCACUUGACAGAUGGAAGUUAAGAGCAAUUCAUGUGAUGAUAACUUGUUGUUGUAUUGUUCCUUUCUCUCCAAAGUGUCCCUACAUGAUUUAAUUUUGCAAACAUGAGAAGUCCUAUUUAAACCCUUUCUUUUUCCUCUCUCCAUUACCACAUGUUCUUCAUACACAUUUCAAUUAGCUUUUGAGGUUUCAACAUUUGUGAUUCUUUGGUUUCAAUUAUUUUCUUUCCUAGAGACCUCACCUCAUGCUUUGCUCAUAGUUAGAGUAAUUCCCACAACCCACAUAACCAAUUCCAUUUUUUCAAACUAUAGGGAAUAUACCUAAAGACAACCAUGACAUGUCCUGUCCUCUUCUGUAUAAACGUUGGGUGGGCAUCUAAUAAGAUGCUAGUCUAAAACUUAGCAUCUCAUUAGAGAAGAUAUUGACAGCAACAUUGUUAUUUUCCCCCUUAUUCAUCCUUUUUCUUAUAAUGGAAUCACUUCGGUUUAUUUUCAAAUGUGACCAUAAGAGCAGUCUGUAGAAAUGUGUAUCGGAAUCCCUAAAAGCAGCUUUGGCUGUUGCCAGCUAUUAGAUUUUUAUUUUAGAUUUUAAAGAAAUCAGACAUACUAUGAAUACAAAAAACAACAAAAUCCUAACUCCACAAAAGAGUGAUAUGUUUAUUGGCUAAUCAAAGUGCAGAAAACAUUUCCCCUGUUUCGUAUCUUGCAUUAUUCAUUUUCUGCAUUUUGGUUGGCCAAUAGGGUUUCAUUUUUUUGUGGAUUUUGUUGUAUUUUGCUGAAUGGCUGCUAUGAAUAUGUUUCCCUUGAAUCCAAAGGCAGACUUUCUCUGUUAGAUCUUAAAAUGACUUUUUUCACAUUUGGAAGGAGAGGCAAUCAGUCCAGCCUUGUUGGGUUAGCCUUAAAGGUAGGAGAGAAAUCCUGUGGGUCGCAGGCAGCCCCUGAACAUUAUUAUUAAAACCACUACUAUCACAAUAUUUUUGACAAAAAGUGUGUUUUUUUAAAGACCAGAAUGACCCCAGACACUUCAGAAUUCCCCAUGUGCCUCCUGGGUAUGUACAUGCUGUUUUAUAAAAAGGAGAGGCAUUUUUGCAAACAGGAGGUAAACUGGGAAUGACAGUUUAUUUCCUGGUUCAAGAAAAGUCUGCCUUGUUUCUAAAUAAUCUAGCAACCCUCAUGUGGUGACAUUGCCCCCAUACUUUCUAAGGGGUUCAGUAGGUACAGUCUGAAGGAAUAUUUGGUAUCUGUAGCAGCAUAGCCAGUGCAAUAUAUGAGCUUAUGGUAGAAAACAAGAAAGAAAAUACACAGGAUGUAGUUAUUACAUCUCAGAUAAAAAAGUAAAUAGACAAAAAGAAAGUUUGGUAGACGAGCCCCUAAUGCUGACUCCCAUGUCAUCUUGAAGCAGAGAAGCCUCAUGCUGUUCCCUUCUCAGAGGAGAUAAAGCACUAAAAACUUCUGGGAAGAAGUCAGGAAGCUAAACACCCAGAGUUCCAUCGAUCUAGGAAAAAGAGGUGAAAACAAGAUAGCAGGCCUGCACCACAGGGUUGCUUCUGUGCCUAAUUACUCUAUAUACAAGUGUCAAUGCUUAUUAGCUCCCAACACAGUCUUGUUUUUUGUAAAAUGAAAGAAAGAUAUAAGUGGUGAAAAGGUAGUUAAGUAAUUGUUUCCAAGGUCUAGUGAAUAAUGUGUAAAGCUCCAGACCUUGUGUAGUCCCCCCCCCUUCUUUCCUAAAGUGCCAGUGCAAAAUUAAGAUAAACACUUACUGAUAAAAUACUAUUUGGUGAGGGAGAGUGAAUCCACAAGACAGCCAAAGGAGAAAUGGUAGUAAAAACUCAAGAGGUUAUUGUUAGUGGUUUAUUUAGUUAGUGGUUUAUUUGUCCUUGUGGUUCUUGUUCAUUUUUUAAACAAAGGCUUCAAACAUGUGAAAUCUUUUGCAGAAACGUAACCUGCCAAAGCUGAAGAAUUGUGAAACUCUGCCCAGAAGUUUCAUGGCACUUCUAAAUUACUGGGAGGAAAUGCAAUCAGUCAUGGGUGGAGCCAAUGUGAAGCUUUAAAGAUGUCUGUUAGUGCAGAAAUAGCAGUGGCAAUGAAUAUACUUUCAGAAAUUCAUGCAGGCUUGCAAAGAGGCUAGCAUACUUUCUAGCCAAUGGAUGGUCCCACUUUAUACGUGAAGCCCAGCCAAGAUGUUUUCAGUGGGCUCUCCUAUCCUGUUACAUCUAUCAUCCUCUCCUUUGCCUGUCUCUCUCUCUCUCAACUGCAUGUCAUAGAUUUUCCAGAGAGGUAGAGAUGAUAAGCUAUGGUGAAGUUACUGCUCCUUCUCUCACUAUUAUUAUUUAUUUAUUACAUCACUUCUACCCCGCCCUUCUCACCCAUCAGGGGACUCAGGGCGGCUUACAAUAUAAACAUACACAUCAAAAAACAGUUUUCAUCAAAUUUAAAAAUCCAUCAAGAUUAGAAAUUACAAUAAAAUUAAGAAUAUACAUUAAAAUAUACAUAAUUAUACAUUUAAAUAUACAUUUAAGGCGCUUUCCAGAUACUAUAAUACUCGAAGAAAUCAGAAGGGGCUGGCUGAAGUUCAUGCAAGCUCUUUUAACCAUUCUUUCAGUUUUAUAUCCCAAAGAGGUGAGGUAAGCCUGGUAAGUCCCUGACAUCCCCUCUUCCCUUUCUGGCAUUCCCAGAGCAGCAAAACCAGAACUGCUUCUCCAGUUCUUUAUAUACUGCCUCGAACUUUGCGGCUGGGUUCAGUUGCUUCCUGCCAUGGUGGAGUCUGUAUGAACGUGGUUCAUGGAUAUUGCGCUUCAGGGAUUGUGAGUGAUCAGUCUUUGACUAUGGCAGGUUAGUGGGAGGAGAGUUCAUAAAUUACAGAUUUUUUAAAAAAAAAUAGAGGUGAAAUUGAGCUUCCACAGACUCCUCAUGUGGGUAGGGGGGAAACGUGGAAAGAACAAGGACAGCCCCUGGGCUUUAUUGAAGCCUAUCCAUGAAGUAGUACACUAUCUGCCUCAGGGCUGGGAGUGCAUCAGAGCUUUUGUUGUUAGUUCUCAUCUGGGGAAAGCAAUAUUGGGGUUGCUGUGGUAAUCAAGGAUGGGCUGCUUUUGAACACUGCAGAGGGAAGGAGAGUAAAUUUUAAAGCAUCAAAGGCCCCCUUUAUCCUAAAACUGAUGGUCUGAGGCCCACGUUGCUGCAACAUUUUUGGAACUUCUGUGUCAACAGCAACCAACUAGUUUUUCCCUCGGCAUGCAAACUAAAUCCUCCUGCAGCGCUAGAAUGUUUGACGUUGACUUGUGUAUAGUACAGUAAGCUUAAAAUUUAGAUUUUCUUAGACAAAAUGUCAGAACUUUCCCAUUAGGAAACAUUUAAUUCUAGGCCUGGAUGUUUGUCUAGUGGCUCUUCUUUAGAAAUGGAGCUGGACUGGGCCUUUGUGAUUCUUGACGCAUAUGCCUACUAGAAAUUAUUUUCUAUUUUUUCUUAAGUUUUCUGGAAACAGAAACUGGAACAGUCUUGCAGAGAAGUGCAGGUAUGUUGUAAAGAGAGCAGCCAUUGAAGUGGUAGAAAGCAAAAGCAAGCAGGAGGAAGCGUUGAGGUGCGGUGGCCAUCUGGUUGGCUGUAUAGGCAUCGUUGGUUGCUUAUUAGUCUUCUCCAUCCUGGACAGGAACACAUGAAAGUCGAAUUUAGGCCAGUGGUAGGGAUCAUGUGGUCUUCCACAUGCUGUUUAGCUGCUACUCCCCACAUUCCUCACCAUUCGUUAUACUGGUUGGGAAUUGCUGAGAAUUGCUGCAUGAUUUCCCACCAUGGUAUGAAGGUCCCUUAGUGGAAGAAAAGAGGGAUACAGAUAAAGACUUGUUAUAAUACAUUUCUUGGGCAUCUCAUGCAUGAAGUUGGCUGAUGCAGUUCAUGAAUCUGGGGUUCAUAAUGUGUAAUUAACAGACCACUGGCAUGUUAAUAAAGCUGAUUCAGGCUCUAAUCAUGGCUGUAUAUAUGUAAUAUAUCAUAUCUCUCUUGUUAUUAUUUGCUUGUUUUCUGUCAAGUUACUUUCGGCUUAUGGUGACUCCGUGAAUUGGAGAUUUUCUUAUGACCUGAGUUUGCAAGAUAGGUCUUGUACAUUCAGGGCAGCUCUGGUUCUCUUGACUCAGUCCAUCCUCUUGUAAUGUGGGAUUCCUCUUUUACUACUGUGUUCCACUCUACUGAACAUUAGCACCUUUUCCAAUGAGUCAUAUCAUCUCAUGAUGUGUCUAAAGCACGGUAUUUGAGUCAUUUUGGCUUCUGGUGAGCGUUUCUGCUCCAUUUGAUCUCAGACCCAUUCAUUUGUCUUUUUGGCUGCCCAUGAUAUUCAUAGAAUUCUCCUCCAGCACCAUAUUUCAAAUGAAUUGAUUCUCUUCCUGUCAGUUCUUUUCACUAUCCAGCUUCACAGUCAUAUAUAGAAAUCAGAAACACGAUGGCAUGGAUGAUCCUGACAUUGGUAUUCAAUGAUAUGUUUUUACAUUUGAGGAUCCUAUUUAGUUUCUUCAUGGCUGCCUUUUUGAGUCUUAGUCUUCUCCUGAUUUCUUGACUGCAGUUUCCAUUUUGAUAAUGUCUGGGCCAAAGUAUAGAAACUUUUAACUUUUUUGAUAUCAUCCUUGCUCAUUUCAGUGUUUUUUUUUGUUGUCUUAAUACUUAGCUGUAACCCUGCUUUUGCACUUUCUUUUUGAUUUCCAUCUGUAAUGGUUCCAGGUUUUUGCUGCUGUUGCUAGUAAUAUGAUGUCAUUCUAAAUUGUUAAUGUUCCUUUCUCCCAGUGUCCACAUCUCCCUUCUCUGAGUCUAAUCCUGCUUUCCAUAGUAUGUUCUGCAUAUAAAUGUCCAUGGCUGAGAAAAAUCUUUCCUUUCAUGCAAACCGCCAUUGCUUUGCCCCUGAGGGAUUGAAGAGCAGGCAGCAUUUGACCUAAUAAUUCCUCCUUCUACCUCCAUCUCAUUUUCCUUGUAUUUUGGAAGUGUCAAAGCAAUAAUUUGUAAAUUGCUCUGGAAGCCUUUUAUACAGAACAAACAAAGUAAUAUGAUAACACCAUUGUUGAAUUUCCUUUCCAAUUGAAAAUGCUUUUCUGUUUCAUUAUAUUGAUCCCAGCAGAAGCCUCUAGUCUACAGUAAAGGUUAUAUACCUGGACAAUCAAAAUGGUUAAUGUGACCCCUAGUUUGUCACAAACUAUUUUGACAGAAUCUUUGUUGUAAUCUAUAAAACACAGGCUGAUUUUCUUUCUAAAUCCUUUGGUAAGAUCCAUUAGUCAAAGUAUGUUUGCAAUAUUGUCUUUAGUGCCUCUUUCCUUUCUGAAUCCAUAUUGGUAUUCUUGUGCCAUAUAUUGUACAACUCUUAGUGCAAUGGUAUGGUGAUUACUGCAAUUCCCAGUGUCCCCAUUGUUGGGGGUUAGAAUGUUUAUUAAGCUUUUCAAAUCUAUGGGUUAUUGAUGGUUUUGUGUGCUCCAUUUGUAGGACUUUGUUAGAAUUUGGACUGAGUUCAUUAUCUGUAUCUUGAAACAGCAACAUUGGAGUGCCAUCUAUUUUUGGGUGAUUGUUUCUCCAAGUGUUUUGAGUCCAUCUUAUUUUCACUUUCUAAAAUGUUCAAUUUUUUGGUACAAGGUACUACUUCAAGACAUCCUACUUUCAUGUGUUUUGUAUAGUUAUUCAGUGUAUUGUCUUCAUUUUUAAAAAUUUUAUUGUGCCUAUAUCGUAUGUUCCCAUGUUGGUUGUAUAACAUCCUGCUCUUGGUUUAAAAUUCCCUUUGAAUUCUUAAAUCUUGUGAAAUAAAGAGGUUAUAUCUUUUUACAUUUCUUCUAUUUAUUGUCCUGUAUUAAGAUCCUCUUUCCCACUUGCCUACUCAGGUUUGUGCUUUGAAGCUGUACUUCAAUUGAGGCAAGCAUUUUACAUACCUUCUCACACCUGCCGUUCAGUAUAUUAUUUCUUAACCUAUCACCCUGAAAAGUGUGAGUGAAUCAUAUUUCCAAAUGUUUGCCUGUUUGUUAAUAAGCCCCAAGCAUUUUGCCUGCACAAUUCUGGAGAUGGGGAAACCUGUGAUUUGCAGCUCCUUCCUUGCCUUCACUGCUUGCUUUUCAGUAAGUAUUGUAUUGUCCAGCUUCACCUGGAAUGAAGGGACCAGGAUUUUUUAUUUUCCUCAUUCUGUUUCAUCAGCAUGUCUCCUGUAUAUACCAUAAUCCAAUGUGAGAACAGGGGAGUACUAUGUCAUUGGUACAAAUUUUACUAAUUUUAAGAAGAGGGUUUGGAUCUGGAGAACUUGGCUCUUGGUGAUCAACUUGAAUGUGAUGAUGAUGUGUACUAUGGAUUGUAAUUGGGGAAUGAUGGAUGAGACCCUAUGAAUCCCAGCUCCUCUUUUCAUUUGAUGCUAAUUCCUUUGAAGCCUUUUAAAACUGUUUGGGUUUUUUUUUAAAAAAAUUAUAGUACAACCUUCUUAUUUGCAGACUUGAUAACCAAAAUUUAUUCCACCCAGAAAUGUUUGUGGGUCUCCUUUGGUCCUCUAGUUCUAUUAUAUAGUAUGCUUGCAGUCCAGGUAUAAUUAAAACAUUGUAUAGGAUUUACUACAAUUCAUGAUUUCAGGUACUGACAGAGAUCUUGGAAAGUAUCCCCUGUUCUGUAUAUUUUAGUGCAUAGUAGUGUGCCUGCAAGUUUGCUUAUUUCUUUUAAAGGUCCACUGUACAUUAAAGUGAGUAAAAUAACUGUAAGCAUAUUAUUAAAUUACAAACUGUCUUACUAAAGUGUAGGAGGAAUAAAAACAGUUAAUAUUGUGUCUUAAUGGGGAAGAUUUCUUGUUGAGAAAACUAAAGUCUCCAUAUUAUUUUAUUGAGUUAUCAACCUGGAUUUAUUUCCUCCAUGUCACUCUUUGGCUUUAUGUUAAACCUACAUUUGGAGGAUUAUUUUGCACCCGCAAUAAUAGCAGAGCAGUUCUGGUUUUGAUAUUUCAUUCUGCUUUAAAAUAUCAGGAUUCACUGGACCUCCAAACUCUGUUGAUAAUAAUAGCUCUUGAUAUUUGACGGUUAGUGUGCCUGAAGCUGCUUCUUCACAUUGCAGUGACAAUUUUCUUUUGGCAAGAGAUGGCAGCAUCCAUUUUUAAUUGCAUGCAUUGUCUGUGGAUUUAUAAACGCUGAAAAACAAGUGUUUCCAUGAAGAGGCUCCUUAGGGGAAUAUCCCUUUUCCCUGUUAUGAAAUGGAGCUCUCUCCGAGGGUGAGUUUACAUAAUAUCUGAUCAGUAAUGUUGGAGGCCUUUUGUAAAUACAGUAAGAUGCUUACUAAGCAAGUUGCCUUUCCUCCAAAUGCCGGCAGGCCUUGGAAUGCUUUGCAGUGCCUGCGAGAGCAAGAAAAAGGAGUGUGGGGGCGGAGGACAGGCCUUUUCACUUGGCUCUGGGCAAGGAAAGCGGCUUGAGCGCAUGGAGCACUUUCAGGAUGCAGAUUGCAGGCUUGUCUGACAGUCUGGUUGGGGCUGAAAGGCAACUUCAUGCAAGUUGCAUCACACUUCUAGCUUCUGCACAUUCCUUUUGCUGCUGGUCGCGUGAUCUGGCCUUUCCAGAGCGGCCUGGCAUACCUUGCAGGCAAUAACCCUUAUAGGUGGAAACGGUGUCACAAAAUAAAACACCUACAUAUACUUCUCCAUGAUUCUCAGGUCUCCCAUUUCGGAGCAGAGUUCAACUGCAGACCUUAUAGUCAUAAUUUGGAAUCUCCAACUUUCCUCCCACUAUCACUCCUGAUAUUAUUAUAAUUUUUAUUAAAAGGAAAGGAAAAUGCUACGGCAGUAAUAGUACAAAGAAGCAAGACGCUAUACGAUAUGUUUCUAAAACUAUGCAGCUAGAUUGUAGCUGCUACAACAAACUCCAAAACUAGAUCAAAACACACCUGCAAAAUCAUAUACACACAAUCAACACUAAUAAACAAACAAGGAAACAAUUCUAUGAACUUCACAUUCACUAUCUGGUGGUUUUGUACCUUUUAAUUCUGUUCCUUUUAGAUGAGAAUAUAUAACCACAGUUCUUCUUUUGUAAACAUUCAUAAAUCCUACAGUUGUCAUAAAGAAAUCCCAGUUUUUUUAAUUGAUCAAAGAUUUCUCCUUAAUCAGCAUAAUUAGUUUAUCCAUCUCUCCUAAUUCUCAGAGCUUCAUCAGCCAACUCUUGCUGCAGUUACCAUAUAUCAUGAUAUGAAUACUCUUCCAAAUAUUAUUUCUAGAUGAUUGUCCAGCAUUUCCAACAGAUAAAUCUUUGACUUCAUUGUGAAUUUCAUCUCAGAUUUUAUGAAACACCAAACCUGAUGAAGACUUCUAGAGAACGAGAAGUUCUGCACCUCUUGUGGAUUUCUUCAUUGUUUUUGUGUUUCUUCAGGUCAUCUCCAACCCAUGACAACCCUGUUACAUAGAAGAUUUCCUUGGCCAGUUUUGUUUGAUGGAGGUUUGCCAUUACUUUCUUCUUUAGCUAAGAGAAUGUGACUUGUCCAUUGGGUCACCCAUUGGUUUUCUUGGGAAUUUCAAUAUUCUAAUAAGAUCAUUGCACAGCUGUGGGUUUUGGAUAUCACCUUGUUCUUAUGGGCCAACACAACUACUUUUCUUUCAAAAUAGGACAGUAUCUUUACGCCUGUUUGGAUAAGCAAAGCCAUCCAGUUUCCUUGUUGGGGAACUCGAAGUCUUAAUUGAUUUCCUCAGCCUGCUUCAGAACCACAUGCAGUUAACUGCAGGAAUGUGUUCAGAGCUGCCUUUUGCUGGUUUUUAAAGUUAGCUUUCCCAACUUCGCUUUGCUCAAGAGGCACCGAAGGGGGGAGAUCCGAAGGAAGUGAUUAAAAACCUAGCCUUCCCAGCGUAUCCUUGUCACCGUGACAGAUAAUGACAGGUUUUUAAGCAGGUUCUGAGAGGCAGCAGUGAUUAGUUUUUCUGCUGUUUUCUUUGUUUUCCUUCUGUCUCUCCUUCACCCUGCUUUUCACUCUCCUGGCAACGCUGCCUACUUCUGCUGACUCACACCAGGCCUUUCUUCGGCACAAUUUGCUGCUGUAGGAUGACAGCCUUUCAAAUAUAAAUUUCAGUUUUCCCAUAAAACUUAUUUUUCAAACAUUCCUAAUGUUUUGGUCUCUCUGACUAACUUCUUUCCUUUUUUUGAACGGAGCUGAAGCCUGCAUAAAUGUAAUUUAUUGCUGGAAAUUAAAUGAAGGCUAACUGCAGCCAUCGGCCUUCAAAAAUUAAAAUCCUUGAUUGCUGACUCAGUGCCAGUGGAAUUCAUUUGAUGUUGCCCCCUCCAUCGAGAGGAGAGUUCAUUUGGCAACUCUCUGCUGAAGAUAGAGGCACAUGCAUAUGACGUUCUAAGAUUCCUUUAUCCGGUUUAUGUGAUUUACUGAAGUGUCCGGUUUUUCGUUUCCCCAUGAAUUACCUUCCACUUCUGGAAAGGUAGAGGCAGGGCUUCAUCACUUUUCCAGCUGGCCGGUAGGACAUGCGAGGACUUUGGGGCGUCAUGGUUGCUGUGACUUUUUGCGUGGAGUUGGGAACGUUUUCAGUCGACAAUGAAGCUCUGUUGUCUGUGAUUUCCCAGGUGUGAACUGACU